CAAAACACCUUGCAAUCAGUUCCUGGCAUUUUAAGACAGGUUGAUUCAUUAGGUUGCGGCGCAUGAUUGAAUGUAAAGGGAGAAAUCAAAAGCGCUGGCAGAGAAUUGGAGUGUGAGUGAGCAGGUUGUUUGUGAGGGUUCAAGAUUCCCAUGUGAAGGACGGAAGCUCUCAUGGGGACAAAAGCUGCAGUGGCAUGGCAACAUCAGCUGUACAACAACAUGAGGGCAGAUAAGCACAUCAUCCACCAGGUCUUGCAGAACGGAAUCCAACAGUAAGUGUCCAGCAGAGGGAGACACAGGCUGACAGCAGUGAAAGUCACAGAGUGAGGGGAUGAUGGGAGUUUCUCUCCUGCAGCAUCCUCCUACAUUACCCACAGGGCCAGCUGCUGCAAAGAGGCAUUUUCACAGCACCGUUCUUACAGAGCAAUAUGAUUGCCAAAAACCACAAACUUGUCCUCAUCACGUUGCAGAAUAUUACUUCUGAAUUUUGAUUCAGUAUCUCCAAAAUGCUGUCUCACUUAACCUGAUGUUAGAAGAUGCAGGUAAAUUGUAAUGCUGCCAUAAAGCUGAUAAAGAUGUCUGGUGAAGCAGCCAGCCAGCGGUUGGUGUAUGGCACUG